CCUACGGUUGGCAGCAGUGAGGAAUAUUGGUCAAUGGACGCGAGUCUGAACCAGCCAAGCCGCGUGAAGGAUGACUGCCCUAUGGGUUGUAAACUUCUUUUAUAUGGGAAUAAAAUGUUCCACGUGUGGGAUUUUGUAUGUACCAUAUGAAUAAGGAUCGGCUAACUCCGUGCCAGCAGCCGCGGUAAUACGGAGGAUCCGAGCGUUAUCCGGAUUUAUUGGGUUUAAAGGGAGCGUAGGUGGAUUGUUAAGUCAGUUGUGAAAGUUUGCGGCUCAACCGUAACAUUGCAGUUGAAACUGGCAGUCUUGAGUACAGUAGAGGUGGGCGGAAUUCGUGGUGUAGCGGUGAAAUGCUUAGAUAUCACGAAGAACUCCGAGUGCGAAGGCAGCUUACUAAGCUGCCACUGACGUUGAGGCUCGAAAGUGUGGGUAGCAAACAGGAUUAGAUACCCUUGUAGUC
rnacentral:rRNA from 1 species